ensembl:snoRNA
AAGGUGCGAGGACAGCAAAGACUCUCUUUAUAACACACCCAACAGGAAUCUGUGGUCAUUGUGAUCAGGUGCACAAAACUGUGGCUUCACUACGAACAAAUUCUCUACAUGU